rnacentral:rRNA from 1 species
UACGGAGGGUGCAAGCGUUAUCCGGAUUCACUGGGUUUAAAGGGUGCGUAGGUGGGUUGGUAAGUCAGUGGUGAAAUCUCCGGGCUUAACCUGGAAACUGCCAUUGAUACUAUCAAUCUUGAAUACCUUGGAGGUGAGCGGAAUAUGUCAUGUAGCGGUGAAAUGCUUAGAUAUGACAUAGAACACCAAUUGCGAAGGCAGCUCACUACACGGUCAUUGACACUGAGGCACGAAAGCGUGGGGAUCAAACA